rnacentral:rRNA from 1 species
AAAAAACAGAACUGUGGGGACAUUUGUGGAGAGCACAGGCGCGGAACGGAAAGCCGCGUGCAAGCGAAGGAGGAGUCACAUAGGAAAAACCGUGUGGCAAUCCAGAGGCGUGAUGCGGACCGACUAGGGAAGUGUGUGAGCCAUGAAUCAAGAAAAGCCGCUAUUGUUUUUAAGAUACCCGUACCGUAAACCGACACAGGUGGAUGAGGAGAGAAUCCUAAGGCCGGCGGAAGAAGCAUUGUUAAGGAACUCGGCAAAAUGACCCCGUAACUUCGGGAGAAGGGGUGCCAACGAGAGUUGGCCGCAGAGAAUAGGCUCAAGCAACUGUUUAGCAAAAACACAGGUCUAUGCAAAACCGUAAGGUGAGGUAUAUGGGCUGACGCCUGCCCGGUGCUGGAAGGUUAAGAGGAGAGGUUAGCGCAAGCGAAGCUUUGAAUUUAAGCCCCAGUAAACGGCGGCCGUAACAAUAACGGUCCUAAGGUAGCGAAAUUCCUUGUCGGGUAAAUUCCGACCCGCACGAAAGGCGUAAUGAUUUGAGCGCUGUCUCGACAAUGCAUCCGGUGAAAUUGAAGUACCAGUGAAGAUGCUGGUUACCCGCGCCAGGACGGAAAGACCCCAUGGAGCUUUACUCCAGUUGGUACUGGGGUCCGGCAGUGCAUGUACAGGAUAGGUGGGAGGCUGAGAACCUGGAACGCCAGUUUCAGGGGAGCCAUUGUUGGGAUACCACCCUUGUGCUGCUGGGCUUCUAACCAGCGGCCUUUAUCAGGCCGGGGGACAAUGCCAGACGGGGGGUUUGACUGGGGCGGUCGCCUCCGAAAGGGUAUCGGAGGCGCUCAAAGGUUCCCUCAGAAUGGUCGGAAACCAUUCGAAGAGUGCAAAGGCAGAAGGGAGCUUGACUGCGACACCGACGGGUGGAGCAGGUACGAAAGUAGGACUUAGUGAUCCGGUGGUAUUAAGUGGGAAUGCCAUCGCUCAACGGAUAAAAGCUACCCUGGGAUAACAGGCUUAUCACUCCCAAGAGUUCACAUCGACGGAGUGGUUUGGCACCUCGAUGUCGGCUCAUCGCAUCCUGGGGCUGUAGUAGGUCCCAAGGGUUGGGCUGUUCGCCCAUUAAAGCGGUACGCGAGCUGGGUUCAGAACGUCGUGAGACAGUUCGGUCCCUAUCCGGCGUGGGCGUAGGAUAUUUGAGAGGAGCUGUCCUUAGUACGAGAGGACCGGGAUGGACUGACCUCUGGUGUACCGGUUGAACCGCCAGGUUCACGGCCGGGUAGCCAAGUCGGGAAGGGAUAAACGCUGAAGGCAUCUAAGCGUGAAGCCCCCCUCAAGAUGAGAUAUCCCAUUCGAAAGAAGUAAGACCCCUUGAAGACGACGAGGUAGAUAGGGCAGAGGUGGAAGUGCCGUAAGGCAUGGAGCUGACUGUUACUAAUCGGUCGAGGGCUUGAC